rnacentral:rRNA from 1 species
UAUUAUUUUUGGAUGUUAAUGUUUUGCCUGAGUAGUAUUAGUUAUGUUCUUGAAACUUAAAGAAUUUGGCGGUAUCUUAUUCCGUUCAGAGGAACCUGUCUCGUUAUCGAUAGUCCGCGUUGGACCUUACUUAGUUGUUUGUUGGUUUGUAUACCGCCGUUUAUUGAUUAUCUUUUUAGGGUUAUGUAAUUUUCUCGUUCCUUUAUUUGGUUUAAUUUCAGGUCAAGGUGCAGCUUUCUCUAAGUGUAUUGGUGGGUUACAUUGUUAUUUGUUGUUUUUGGAUUGUUGGUUUUAAUUACUGGCAUGAAAUUGGAUUUGAUUGUAAUGUUUUGAAGAUUGUUUUUGUGAUAAUUGGUUCUGAGAUAUGUACACAUCGCCCGUCGCUCUCGUUUUAUUUGUUAAUGAG